rnacentral:rRNA from 1 species
AUUGAACGCUGGCAGCAUGCCUAACACAUGCAAGUCGAACGGUAACAGGCCCGCAAGGGUGCUGACGAGUGGCAGACGGGUGAGUAAUACGUAGGAAUCUGCCCUGUAGUGGGGGAUAGCCCGGCGAAAGCCGGAUUAAUACCGCAUACGCUCUACGGAGGAAAGCGGGGGAUCGCAAGACCUCGCGCUAUUGGAUGAGCCUACGUCUGAUUAGCUAGUUGGUAGGGUAACGGCCUACCAAGGCGACGAUCAGUAGCUGGUCUGAGAGGAUGAUCAGCCACACCGGAACUGAGACACGGUCCGGACUCCUACGGGAGGCAGCAGUGGGGAAUAUUGGACAAUGGGGGAAACCCUGAUCCAGCAAUGCCGCGUGUGUGAAGAAGGCCUGCGGGUUGUAAAGCACUUUUGUUGGGGAAGAAAAGCCGUCGGCGAAUAUCCGGCGGUCUUGACGGUACCCAAAGAAUAAGCACCGGCUAACUCCGUGCCAGCAGCCGCGGUAAUAC